CACUAUAAACGCAUACAUGGCAGUCUGUUAUCAAAAGGUAUCACAAGCAUGUUAGAAAAAAUCUCUUAUGCAUUUAGACCGAUUGUGCUCGCUAAUAUUCGCAUUUAUGUUAGUACAAUGAUGACACUAGUCACAAGCGCCUAACUAGAUUUCCGCAGCGGCAAAGGAGCCAAGACAAGUCUUAUCAUAAUUUAACAAAUACUGCCCAUUGUUACAACACUUCAGUACUCUGCAGAGUUUCAAUGGUCCAUUGUUAGAGAAGCUAUACUUACAGGAUUUAACAUGUAUUAUAAUGUGUAAAAUAUUAUUUUAAUUUAUGUUUAGAUUAUGUUACGAGUUUUGUAAUAUUGGUGCUGAGAGCAUUAUUUUUGUUUUAUUUCUUUAUUCUGGGGAAAGUACAAUUUGUUUCUAACAUUAGUGUAAACUGUAUACUGACACAACAAACCUUAGUAGCGUAUUUAAUUUUAUUCACCAGUGUGCAAUAGUUUCUUACGCCCACCACAGAGAGAGAGAGUCGACUUGCACACAUAUAAUUUUAAUUAAGUACCUACAUUUAGCAAAUUAAUCGUUUAGGGGCGUGCAAGUUCAGUCAAAAUUUUUGUGAUCUUAAAAUAAUGAAAUGAAGUUACCAUCGUAUAUUAGUGUCUUAUCGCUGUCAUUGCUGAAUUGUUUUGUAAGACUGUGUUAUUGCAAUAAAUGGUACAAGAACAUAA